GAUGAACGCUAGCGGCAGGCUUAAUACAUGCAAGUCGAGGGGUAACAGGUCCGUAGCAAUACAGAUGCUGACGACCGGCAAACGGGUGCGGAACACGUACAGAACCUUCCUUCGAGUGGGAGAUAGCCCAGGGAAACUUGGAGUAAUAUCCCAUAGGAUCAUAGAGUGGCAUCCCUUAGUGAUUAAAGAUUUAUCGCUUGAAGAUGGCUGUGCGGCUGCUUAGGUAGUUGGUGUAGGUAACGGCUCAGCAAGCCUUCGAUCAGUAACUGGUGUGAGAGCACGACCAGUCACACGGGCACUGAGACACGGGCCCGACUCCUACGGGAGGCAGCAGUAAGGGAUAUUGGGCAAUGGAGGCAACUCUGACCCAGCCAUGCCGCGUGGAGGAUGAAGGUCCUCUGGAUUGUAAACUUCUUUUAUUUGGGAAGAAAUGCCGAUUUUCUAAUUGGUUUGACGGUACCAGAUGAAUAAGCACCGGCUAACUCCGUGCCAGCCGCCGCGGUAAUAC
rnacentral:rRNA from 1 species